CCCUUAGACGUUCUGGGCCGCACGCGCGCUACACUGACCAGUGCAACAAGCAUCCGUCCUUGGCCGACAGGCUCGGGCAAUCUUUGAACGCUGGUCGUGAUGGGGAUAGACUUUUGCAAUUUUUGUUCUUCAACGAGGAAUUCCUAGUAAACGCAAGUCAUCAACUUGCAUUGAUUACGUCCCUGCCCUUUGUACACACCGCCCGUCGCACCUACCGAUUGAAUGGUCCGGUGAAGCCUCCGGAUUGGCGCGCACCUCGGUGCCGCCGAGAAGUUGGCUAAACCUUACCAUUUAGAGGAAGGUGAAGUCGUANCA
rnacentral:rRNA from 1 species